GUAAAUAAAUGAGGGGAUAAAUAAAGGAGGGUAUAUGGGUAAAUAAAUGUGGCGGUUUUGAGUACUAUAGGGCGGUAAAUAGUAAGCCCUUUUGAUUUUAUAUUUUUCUUUUUUAUAAAAGUUGUCUGACUUCUCUCUAUUUUAUUUUCCCCUUUUUGUAAAACCAUCCCAUUUAUUUUCAGCAAAAAAAAAAUCAAAGUUUUUGCUACGUUGAAAAAAAAAACCAAACAAUUUCCUGAAUAAUUUAGUAUAUUGUGCAUUCGAUCAUCACUACCAUUCAGCAAUUAUCUGCCGCAAACUAGCAAAUUACAAGAGAGGCGACAGGUAUUCUUCAAAUUCAAGUACGUUAGAUCCUGAUACAAUGGACGUGUCAGACAUGCAAUUUCAGACAUUAGGAGAAAGGAGAAAGAGUUUUUCUUAUUCCUUCUUUGAGCAGAAACCAAAUUUGCGGACAUGAUUUUUUUUUUAUUCCUUCUUUUGAGUAGAAACCAAAUUUGUGGACAAGAGUUUUUUUUAUUCCUUCUUUGAGCAGAAACCAAAUUUGCGGACAAGAGUUUUUUUUUCCUUGUUUUGAGAUAUUCAGCAGAGUCAUUGGAAAUUGUUUUUCUUAUUCUUAAGGUUAAUUUGUAUCUCAUAGGAUUUAUGAAUAAUAACAAUAAGAAAAAGAAUUGAUGGGUAGUAUCUUACGUUAAA